rnacentral:rRNA from 2 species
AGGUUAAGUUAACAAGGGCGCAUGGUGAAUGCCUUGGCACUAGGAGCCGAUGAAGGACGGGACUAACACCGAUAUGCUUCGGGGAGCUGUACGUAAGCUAUGAUCCGGAGAUUUCCGAAUGGGGCAACCCAGCAGUUUUAAUCAACUGUUACCACUAGAUGAAUUCAUAGUCUAGUUGGAGGUAAACGCUGUGAACUGAAACAUCUCAUUAGCAGCAGGAAUAUAAAGAAAUUUCGAUUCCCUAAGUAGCGGCGAGCGAACGGGGAACAGCCCAAACCAAAGUGCUUGCACUUUGGGGUUGUAGGACUGAACAUUUGAGUUACCAAAGAACUUGAUAGUCGAAGGAUUUGGGAAAAUCCGCCAUAGAUGGUGAUAGCCCAGUAGAUUAAAUCAAAUUCUCUCAGUUCAGGAUCCUGAGUACGGCGGAACACGUGAAAUUCCGUCGGAAUCCGGGAGGACCAUCUCCCAAGGCUAAAUACUACCUAGUGACCGAUAGUGAACCAGUACCGUGAGGGAAAGGUGAAAAGCACCCCGGGAGGGGAGUGAAAUAGUUCCUGAAACCAUGUGCCUACAAUAAGUCAGAGCGCGUUAAUGCGUGAUGGCGUGCCUUUUGUAGAAUGAACCGGCGAGUUAUGAUCCCGUGCAAGGUUAAGACUAAAAAGUCGGAGCCGUAGCGAAAGCGAGUCUGAAAUGGGCGUUUUGAGUACGAGGUUAUAGACCCGAAACCAGGUGACCUAUCCAUGUCCAGGUUGAAGGUGCGGUAAAACGCACUGGAGGACCGAACCCGUGUAAGUUGAAAAUUGCUGGGAUGAGGUGUGGAUAGCGGUGAAAUUCCAAACGAACUUGGAGAUAGCUGGUUCUCUCCGAAAUAGCUUUAGGGCUAGCCUCGGAAUUAGGAUCAUGGAGGUAGAGCACUAUUUGGACUAGGGGCCCGUCUUGGGUUACUGAAUUCAGAUAAACUCCGAAUGCCAUUGAUUCAUAUCCGGGAGUCAGACGGUGAGUGAUAAGAUCCACCGUCGAAAGGGGAACAGCCCAGACCAUCAGUUAAGGUCCCUAAAUGUAUGCUAAGUGGAAAAGGAUGUGGAGUUGCAUAGACAACUAGGAUGUUGGCUCAGAAGCAGCCACCAUUUAAAGAGUGCGUAAUAGCUCACUAGUCGAGUGAUCCUGCGCCGAAAAUGUACCGGGGCUAAGCAUACUACCGAAACCAUGGAUGCGACCAUUAGGUCGCGUGAUAGGAGAGCGUUCUAAGGGCGGUGAAGCAAGAUCGUGAGGACUUGUGGAGCGCUUAGAAGUGAGAAUGCCGGUAUGAGUAGCGAAAGAUAGGUGAGAAUCCUAUCCACCGAAUGACUAAGGUUUCCUGGGGAAGGCUCGUCCUCCCAGGGUUAGUCGGGACCUAAGUCGAGGCCGAGAGGCGUAGACGAUGGAUAACAGGUUGAGAUUCCUGUACUAGUUAAGUGCGUUUGAGCAAUGGAGGGACGCAGGAGGCUAAGAUGUGCAUUCUGUUGGAUUAGAAUGUCCAAGCAGUAAGUCUUGUGAAGAGUCAAAUGCUUUUCACUUUAAGGACAAGCUGUGAUGGGGAGCGAAAUUUAGUAGCGAAGCGUCUGAUGUCACACUGCCGAGAAAAGCUUCUAGUGAGUACUUAACUACCCGUACCGCAAACCGACACAGGUAGUCGAGGAGAGAAUCCUAAGGUGAGCGAGUGAACUCUCGUUAAGGAACUCGGCAAAAUGACCCCGUAACUUCGGGAGAAGGGGUGCUGAUCGCAAGAUCAGCCGCAGUGAAUAGGCCCAGGCGACUGUUUAUCAAAAACACAGGUCUCUGCAAAAUCGUAAGAUGACGUAUAGGGGCUGACGCCUGCCCGGUGCUGGAAGGUUAAAAGGAUGGGUUAGCUUCGGCGAAGCUCAGAAUUGAAGCCCCAGUAAACGGCGGCCGUAACUAUAACGGUCCUAAGGUAGCGAAAUUCCUUGUCGGGUAAGUUCCGACCCGCACGAAAGGCGUAACGAUCUGGGCACUGUCUCAACGAGAGACUCGGUGAAAUUAUAUUGUCCGUGAAGAUGCGGACUACCCGCGACAGGACGGAAAGACCCCAUGGAGCUUUACUGUAGCUUGAUAUUGAGUGUUUGUACAGCUUGUACAGGAUAGGUAGGAGCCAUAGAAACCGGAACGCUAGUUUCGGUGGAGGCGUUGGUGGGAUACUACCCUCGCUGUAUGACCACUCUAACCCGCACCACUAAUCGUGGUGGGAGACAGUGUCAGGUGGGCAGUUUGACUGGGGCGGUCGCCUCCUAAAAAGUAACGGAGGCGCCCAAAGGUUCCCUCAGAAUGGUUGGAAAUCAUUCGCAGAGUGUAAAGGCACAAGGGAGCUUGACUGCGAGACAGACAGGUCGAGCAGGGACGAAAGUCGGGCUUAGUGAUCCGGUGGUACCGUAUGGAAGGGCCAUCGCUCAACGGAUAAAAGCUACCCUGGGGAUAACAGGCUUAUCUCCCCCAAGAGUCCACAUCGACGGGGAGGUUUGGCACCUCGAUGUCGGCUCAUCGCAUCCUGGGGCUGUAGUCGGUCCCAAGGGUUGGGCUGUUCGCCCAUUAAAGCGGUACGCGAGCUGGGUUCAGAACGUCGUGAGACAGUUCGGUCCCUAUCCGUCGCGGGCGUAGGAAAUUUGAGAGGACCUGUCCUUAGUACGAGAGGACCGGGAUGGACAUACCUCUGGUGUACCAGUUGUGCCGCCAGGCGCAUCGCUGGGUAGCUACGUAUGGAUGUGAUAAACGCUGAAAGCAUCUAAGUGUGAAACACACCUCGAGAUGAGAUUUCCCAUUCCUUUAUGGAAGUAAGACCCCUGAAAGAUGAUCAGGUAGAUAGGUUAGAAGUGGCAGUGCGGUGACGCAUGAAGCGGACUAAUACUAAUCGGUCGAGGACUUAACCAAG